CUGACAGACACUGACACAGAGGGGGUCUGGAAAUGGGUGGAUGGCUCAGCACUGACCACUAAGUUCUGGUGGACGGGGGAACCCAAUGAUUAUGAAAAUGAGGACUGUGUUAUAACUGGCUAUAGAGGUGCUGGAUCUGAACAUGCGUCAACCUGGGCCGAUUAUCCCUGUGGUUACCCUGUAGUUGGAAUCUGUGAGAAAAGUCUGUAAUUUAGUCUACAUGAGAGUGAACAGU